GUUUCUAGGACCGUUCGAGAUUGUAUACGCAUGCCAAGUUUCAUCGGGUACUGAUGAAUAUAACAUUUAAACAAGAACAAGAGUUGUAGGAUAUUACUGCGCGCCGGAAACUCUUAUCAAGUCUCAUUACAAUUUGAGUCAGAGUUGAUGAGAUGACAAGCAGGGAACUGAAAGGCUAUUUUGUGUCUAAAUCCUCGUUUGACCGAGGCCUUAAUUUAUAAAGGACAUUUCCUGGGUAUCACCUAUGUCCGAUGGUCUACAGAGGCGAGAUAUAUUUAAUACUUAAUGUGAACAAGCAACUAUAUUGUCUGGCUAGGUUUCACAAUGAAUAUAUAUCACAUGGCAUGUAUAUCGUAUAUCAUUGUGUCAUCUGAAACCGUCUUGUAUUAAAUAAUUAAAUUGUAUGCAUGAUGCGCUAUGUAUAAAGACGGGAAAGUAAAUAGUGAGCGUUUUUGUCAACACGAACGUGACUCGAAAAUUGGUUUACUUAUACCAGUCAAGAACAUAAGCUUUCUUGCACGAGUGGCCGCCAAAAUUAGCUAUACCAAUUUUCAGGUCACAUUCGUUGUCAUGUGUGUUUCAAUGAAGAUUACAACAAACUGAUACAAACACAGUUUUCAAUCUAGUCAUCCCUCGGCAUCUGACGUCGCUUGCUUAUAUAAAAGCUCGUUAGUGAGUUGCAAAAGCACUUUCUCUAUUCGAUCUAAGCAUCAGUAAUAUGCUUGUUCCCAAACUGCACUUUGAACUAGAAGUCCAUGCACAGUACCGUGGUACUGUGACUUUUUCUGCGCCGCUUUCAGACCGCUCGUGUGAACGCGUUGUCUAGAAUUUAUACCUCGAAGUAUUGAGCAGACCUUCGUUCGUCGAAGUGUUUUGAAUUAUCAUCACGUGCCUUAUGUUCAAAAGCAAGUUUUAAGGUUGUAAUUGUAGCACUCACCUUCUUGUUAAAUGCUGAUCAAACGCUGAAUACCUUUGCUUUCGUUUUAGAUAUGACUUGGGAUAUCGGAGCGUAUAUUUACUCGCGGGCCUUGUCGGCUUAUGGCAGGUUACUACACAACCCCAAAGGUAUGCAGCAAUAGUAAUUUGAGCCGGAACUUGAC